GUGUAAUUUUAUAUAGUAGAAUGAAAUAGAACUGUUGAGGCUGAUGUGGAAAUUAUGGAUUAUGUGAUUCAGAAAGUUUCAGAAUCAUUCACAUUAUUUUAUCUAUAUUAAGAAGACUGGCAUGGUAUCAAAUGGUAAUCCAAGGUACCAUGAGUCCAUACUGAUAUAAAUAAAUAAAUAAGGAAAUAUUUUUCCCUUCUGAAGAUUUCCAAAUAAUGUAUGUAGGUAUCACCUCCUCUGGAGAUGGAGCUUAAUUCUCUUCGCCCUGAGUGCAGGCGGGACUUAGUGACCUGCUUCCAGAGAAUGGAAUAUGGAAAGGGAAAAAGGCUAAUGUUACAGAGGAGGAAACUGAUAGACAUGAUCUUAGCCAAGUGGGCAGCAUUCGUAUCACUAGCGAUAAGCCGUGUUGAUACCCGCUGAUAGAUGUGGUGAGAAGGGCACUUCACUUCUGGGGUGUUCUCCCAAACCUGAUCACACCAGUGUAAGCAUGAGAAAAACACCAGGCAAAUCCAAAUUGAGAGACAUUUUACACAAUAUCUGACCAACACUCCUCAAAACCGCCCAGGUAAUGACAGAAAGAAAGAUCGAGAAAAUAAAGACUAAGAGAUGACCACUUAAUGCAAUGCAGACUCUGAUGGACUCUUGGAACAGUAAAAAUGACGUUAGUGAAAAAAAUGAGUGCAGUCUCAGACAGGUCAGUAGUUCAAUUAAUAGUAAUGAAUCAAUGUUAAUUUUUUAGUUUUGAUAAAUGUAUCAUGACUACAUAAAAUGUUAAUGAUAAGUAUACCUAGAUGAAAGGUAUAUGGGAAUUCUCUGUAACUUUUCUGUACAUCUAAUUUUUUUUUUUUAAGUUUAUCUUUAAAAGGCAAGGGGAAGUUGGAUAACACACACAUGCACAGAAAUUUCUGGAAGCCUAACCAAGAAAAUGUUAAUACAGUUUACUUCUGAGCAGUCAGGAUCAGAAUGGGCAAGGCAUGGGAAAUGAAGAGAAAGAUAGAGACAGAAAGAGACUCAGAAAGAGGAAAAAAGUGGGAAUUUAAUAUUUUCACUUUCACUGUUCUUCCCUAUUUGAUAUUUUCCCCUCAUGUUUGACUUUUAUAUGGCCACCAUGGUUAUCACACCACUCUCAUCCCUCAACAUACUUUCAUCUCAUCUUUCCAAAACAGAAGGGGAGACAUUUCAUUUAGCCAUUGUGCUUGGGAACAACUCUGGGCAUAUAGCUCCAUGCAACGGUAUGAGCUUAAUUCAUUAUUUAUGCCUGCCAUGUGAUAAAGCUCAUAUCCUUCAUGUCCCAUUUUAAGGUUUUAGUGUCUCCUCAGAAGCUGACUUUUACAUUUAGAUUGCCAUGCUCAAUUCACUGUAGUAAUAACAGAUAAGUUGUUAAUCCACAUUGGCGUCAUCUUGGAGUCAGGGAUUGUUUCAACAGAAGAGAAUUUAGUGGAAAUCACAUCCAAUUAAUUGUGUGAGCAAAAGAAAAAGUGAUUGUCAAUUAGAGGAUGUUAAACUUCCAGCUACUUGGAAAACUGUAAAACAGAUCAUGAAAAUGAAUAUAAUUGACAUAAUUUAGUUCAUAAUCAGAGACCAGCUUUCCUACUCCUCUUAAGAUGCAACUAAGAUUGUAAUGUUCAAGUAAAGAGUUUGUGCUGGGGUCAAGAAUUUUUGAGAAUGUGUGUAACACAAGGGGUGCACACACCUUGCCUGAUGAUCAGGCUUGGGGAGAAGAAGAGCAACAUGUUUGCCCAAAGAGGAGUUAGGAGAAAGGGAAUAAGACUAGUGAUGUCUUACUUCUACAUGGAAUAAUUAAUUAUAUGUUGUUGGAGGUAGGUCAAAUGGAGAAAAUUAUCUUAGCAUCUGGAUAAAAUCAAUGAAUCAUGUCUUCUGAACAAUAAAGUUCAAAAAAUUGUCAGGGACUGUUUUCUCAAACACAGGCUUUUAUGGAGAUCUGUCAAGUUUUCCUCAUAAUUCUAAUGUUUAUUUUGCUUUAUUUUUGUUUUGUGGUUUGGAUAGAUUCUCUUUUGUUUCUUACCCUAAUAUUUCAACGACAUCUCCAGUAACUGGGUCUGUCUCUCUUUUCCCAUUUUGAUGAUCUCCGUUUAGUCUGUAAACAAUUAAUAUGAAGCUAUUAAUAUGGUUGGAUUUUGGUCUACCAUUUUGUUAUUUUUUGUUUUAUUGCUGUUUCUCUGUUCAUUUUCUCCUUUAGCAGUACUUGAAUUGUCUUAAAACAUUUCUAUAUUGUAUUUUCGGAUUGUGCUCCUUCACAUUGUUUCUAUCAGUUAUUUGAGAGAUUAUAACAUCCAUACAGGCAUACUUGAAGAUAUUGCAGGUUUGUUUCCAGACCACUGCCAUAAAGAAAAUAACACAAUAAAGCAAGUCACAUGAAUUUUUUGUCUCCCAGUACAUGUUAAAGUUAUGUUUGUAGUAUAUUGUAGUGUAGUAUAAGCUAUGCAGUAGCAUUAUGUCUAAGAAAACAAUGUACAUACCUUAAUUAAACAUAUCUUAAUGCUAACCAUUAAGCUGAGCUUUCAUCAAGUCAUAAUAUUUUUGAAAUAGUAACAUCAAGACCACUGAUCACAGGUCAUGGUAACAAAUGUAAUAAUAAUGAAAAAGUUUGAAAUUUUGGGAAAAUUAACAAAAUGUGACAUAGAGACAUGAAGUGAGCAAAUAUUGUUGGAGAAUGGCACCGAUAGACUUGCUCUGUGCAGUGUUGUCACAAAGCUUCAAUGUGUGAAAAAUGCAGUAUCUGUGCAGCACAAAAAAACAAGGUAUGGCUGUAUGUGACUCUUCAUAGUCUAUUACUUAGAAUUAAUAUUCUGACACUUCAUGUAAAAUGUAGAAACCUUACAACUGCGUGACUUAUUUUCUGCCUCCCUAUCCUUUGUGCUAUUGUUAUUACAUGUAUUAUCAACAUACAUUAUGAGACAUUAGACAAUAUAUAUGUUUUUUGCAAAUACUCAUGUAUUUCAAAUAAAGGGAAAAUGUCUUUUAUAUUUACUCAUUUAACCAGAUGUAAGCCAUUUUUGAUGUUUUAUAUUCCUUUUUGUAAAGUUUAGCUUUUCUUGUAGUGCGGAUCAGUUGACGAUAAAUUCUCUUGAAUUUAUUUUAUAUGAAAAUGUCUGUCUUUAUUCUUAAAAAAAUAUUUUCACUGGAUACUCAAUUUAGAAUUAAUGUUUUGUUUGUUUGUUACACUCUCUACUGUCUUCUAUAAUAUCCAAUGAAAAGUCUUUGAAUUGACAUCAUAGUUCUGUGUGGAAUAUGCUUUUAUCUGACUGUUUUCAAGAUUUUCUUUUUCCUUGGUUUGGUUUUUAGCAAUGUGACUAUAACAAAACUGGGCAUAGUUUUCCUAUUUGAAGUUCACUGAGCUUCUUGGAUCAGUAAUGUUAAGUCUUAUACCAUAUAUGGAAUAUUUUCAACAAUGAUAACUUUAAUAUUUUUUAAUGCUUAUUUUGUCUCCUCCUCAUGAGACUCCAGUUAUACUUAUACUGGACCUUUUAUUAGUCUUCUUUAGGUCCGUGGGUUCAUGAGCAUCUGUUUCGUUUUCCCCACUCUUUUUCUUAUCUGUCUUUUAGAUUGGAUCAUUUCUACGUAUCUGUCUUCAACUUUACUGACUAUUUCUUCUGUAUUUUCCAUCCUAAUAUUAAGCACAUUCUAUGAAUUUUUAAAUUUUAUUUUAUUUUAUUUUUGUAUUAUGC
rnacentral:lncRNA from 1 species